rnacentral:rRNA from 1 species
AGAGUUUGAUCCUGGCUCAGGACGAACGCUGGCGGCGGGCUUAACACAUGCAAGUCGAAGGAGAAGGUAAGUGCUUGCACUUACUGGAGACUGGCGGACGGGUGAGUAACGCGUAGAUAACCUGCCUAUAUCUGGGGGAUAACAUCUCGAAAGGGGUGCUAAUACCGCAUAAUGCAGCGGGGCCGCAUGGCCACAGUUGUUAAAGGUUUCGGCCGGAUAUAGAGGGGUCUGCGUACUAUUAGUUAGUUGGUAAGGUAACGGCUUACCAAGGCGAUGAUAGUUAGGGGGUCUGAGAGGAUGAUCCCCCACACUGGGACUGAGACACGGCCCAGACUCCUACGGGAGGCAGCAGUGAGGAAUCUUGCGCAAUGGGCGAAAGCCUGACGCAGCCACGCCGCGUGCCGGAAGACGGCCCUAUGGGUUGUAAACGGCUUUUAAAAGGGAAGAACGCCCGGGUUUCGACCUGGGGUGACGGUACCUUUUGAAUAAGCACCGGCUAACUCCGUGCCAGCAGCCGCGGUAAUACGGAGGGUGCAAGCGUUGUCCGGAAUCAUUGGGUGUAAAGGGUGCGUAGGUGGGAGCCUAAGUCUGUGGUGAAAUCUUGCCGCUUAACGGUAAAAUUGCCAUGGAUACUGGGUUUCUUGAGUACAGAAGAGGUCGGUGGAAUUCGUAGUGUAGCGGUGAAAUGCAUAGAUAUUACGAAGAACAUCAGUGGCGAAAGCGGCCGGCUGGACUGUAACUGACACUGAGG